rnacentral:rRNA from 1 species
UACGAAGGGGGCGAGCGUUGUUCGGAUUUACUGGGCGUAAAGGGCGCGUAGGCGGCGGGUCAAGUCAGGUGUGAAAGCCCCGGGCUCAACCCGGGAAGUGCACUUGAUACUGUUUGACUUGAGUACUGGAGAGGUUGGUGGAAUUCUCGGUGUAGAGGUGAAAUUCGUAGAUAUCGAGAGGAACACCGGUGGCGAAGGCGGCCAACUGGACAGAUACUGACGCUGAGACACGAAAGCGUGGGGAGCAAACAGG